UCACUAGAAAAAGGGAAGUUGACAGGGGAUGGCUCGUCUAGAAGAGAAGAACCUAAAAUAAAUCGAGAUAGGUCUAAAUCGACGAAGGAUUUAAGUAUAGUAUAAUCUAAAGACGGGUGAGAAGGAAAAGGUGGAGCCAGUGCCAUUAGUCAGAAAAGGAAAAGAGAAUGAAGAAGAAGGCAGAGGAGGCGAAGAGAAAUAGAGGAGGCGAAGAAAAUAAAGAAAAACAGAGGGCGAGAAAGAUGAAGCCUGAUGACAAAAGAAUAUAAAAGGAAUGAGAAACUUGGUGAAGAAGUAAAGGCCGUUGCGUCGAAUCGUCAUAUCGAAGCGAGUUCCGAGAUCGGCUAUAAUGAUGAAUAGACGGCGGUAAUUAAGAUGACCUAAUUAAUGCCGCAGAUAAGAUAAAAAUAGGUGGCGAGAUCAAGGCCGUAGAAAAGAGAUGAACGGCCGAAAUUAAACUAUACAGAGAAUUUGAAAUUAAUUGGACCAGAAAU
rnacentral:lncRNA from 1 species